rnacentral:lncRNA from 1 species
CAAACUUUGCCAUUGACGAUGCUUUGCAAAAACAGUCUCCUAAAUGGCCUUCCAGUUGUGAAAUGAUGGUUGAAAUAGGCUCUCAAUGUUGUUUAGAUGAUGAAUGAACAAUGGCAAGGCUUGGUUCUUUGAGAGUUUUUGACAGAUUUUGAAAAAUGAUGAAAAAUGAGUUUUUUUUUUUGAGAGAGUGCAAGAGCAAGGUUUUUUUUCUUUUUUUCUUGUGGUUGCUUCUAGGGUUUCUAAGUGACAGAAAAUUGAUGAUAAACUCUGCUAUGUGAUUGCCCAAAGCAUGGUUCAUGGAUAUGUGGGAUAUGGUGGGUGAAAAGUGUACUUUUCUUCCCAUUUUCAAGCAACUAGGCAUGGCUACAUGAUGGGUGCAAGUACUUGCACGAAUUUGACUUUGUACAUGCUCAAAAUCUGGUUUCUAAACAUAUUUGGAUAGUGGGAAUGGUUGGAAAUCA